AACGCUGGCGGCGUGCCUAACACAUGCAAGUCGAACGGAGAUAUCAAUGAAGCUUGCGAUUUGAUAUCUUAGUGGCGGACGGGUGAGUAACGCGUGGGUAAUCUGCCCAUAAGUGGGGAACAACAGUUGGAAACGACUGCUAAUACCGCAUACCUUGAGCAAUCAAGAAAGGUGGCCUCUGAAUAUGCUGCCGCUUAUGGAUGAGCCCGCGUCUGAUUAGCUAGUUGGUGGGGUAACGGCCUACCAAGGCAACGAUCAGUAGCCGGCCUGAGAGGGUGAACGGCCACACUGGGACUGAGACACGGCCCAGACUCCUACGGGAGGCAGCAGUGGGGAAUAUUGCGCAAUGGGGGAAACCCUGACGCAGCGACGCCGCGUGAGCGAUGAAGGCCUUAGGGUUGUAAAGCUCUGUUUUAAGGGACGAAUGUCUAGGGGAGUAAUAUGCCCUUAGAAUGACGGUACCUUAAGAGGAAGCCCCGGCUAACUACGUGCCAGCAGCCGCGGUAAGACGUAGGGGGC
rnacentral:rRNA from 1 species